GGAAGGAUGGUCCAGUGGUUAGGGCACUAAUCUGGAAAUUGGGAGACCUGGGUUCAGCUCCCUGCUCUGCCA
rnacentral:tRNA from 1 species